rnacentral:rRNA from 1 species
UACGUAGGGGGCAAGCGGUUGUCCGGAUUUAUUGGGCGUAAAGAGCUCGUAGGCGGUUUGGUAAGUCAGGUUGUGAAAUCUCCACGCUCAACGUGGAGGGGCCACCUGAUAGCUGCCAUGACUGGAGUCCGGUAGAGGAGUGUGGAAUUCCCGGUGUAGCGGUGAAAUGCGCAGAUAUCGGGAGGAACGACCGGUGGCGAAGGCGGUUCUCUGGGCCUGUACUGGACGCUGAGGAGCGAAAGCGUGGGGAGCGAACAGG